rnacentral:rRNA from 1 species
AAUAGAUACCCGGGUAGUCCACGCCGUAAACGAUGCUAACUCGUUUUUGGGCCUUUGGGUUCAGAGACUAAGCGAAAGUGAUAAGUUAGCCACCUGGGGAGUACGUUCGCAAGAAUGAAACUCAAAGGAAUUGACGGGGGCCCGCACAAGCGGUGGAUUAUGUGGUUUAAUUCGAUGAUACGCGAGGAACCUUACCAAGGCUUAAAUGGGAAAUGACAGGCUUAGAAAUAGGCUUUUUCUUCGGACAUUUUUCAAGGUGCUGCAUGGUUGUCGUCAGCUCGUGCCGUGAGGUGUUAGGUUAAGUCCUGCAACGAGCGCAACCCCUGUCACUAGUUGCCAUCAUUAAGUUGGGGACUCUAGUGAGACUGCCUACGCAAGUAGAGAGGAAGGUGGGGAUGACGUCAAAUCAUCACGGCCCUUACGCCUUGGGGCCACACACGUAAUACAAUGGCCAGUACAGAGGGCAGCUACACAGCGAUGUGAUGCAAAUCUCGAAAGCUGGUCUCAGUUCGGAUUGGAGUCUGCAACUCGACUCU